rnacentral:rRNA from 1 species
AUCAACUUUCGAUGGUAGGAUAGAGGCCUACCAUGGUGGUAACGGGUAACGGGGAAUUAGGGUUCGAUUCCGGAGAGGGAGCCUGAGAAACGGCUACCACAUCCAAGGAAGGCAGCAGGCGCGCAGAUUACCCAAUCCCGACACGGGGAGGUAGUGACAAUAAAUAACAAUACGGGGUUCUUUCGGAUCUCGUAAUUGGAAUGAGUACAAUUUAAAUCUCUUAACGAGGAACAAUUGGAGGGCAAGUCUGGUGCCAGCAGCCGCGGUAAUUCCAGCUCCAAUAGCGUAUAUUAAAGUUGUUGCAGUUAAAAAGCUCGUAGUUGAAUUUCAGGCCUGGCUGGACGGUCCGCCCUUCGGGUGAGUACUGUCUGUGGUCGGGUCCUACCUUCUGGCGAAGCGUCAUGGCCUUAACCGGCCGUGGCGGGGAACCAGGACUUUUACUGUGAAAAAAUUAGGAGUGUUCAAGACAGGCAAUCGCUUGGAUACAUUGCAUGGAAUAAGAAUAGGACAAUGGUUCUAUUUGUUGGUUUCUAGGACCGUUGUAAUGAUUAAUAGGGAUAGUUGGGGGCAUUAGUAUUCAAUUGUCAGAGGUGAAAUUCUUGGAUUUAUUGAAGACUAACUACUGCGAAAGCAUUUGCCAAGGAUGUUUUCAUUAAUCAAGAACGAAAGUUAGGGGAUCGAAGACGAUCAGAUACCGUCGUAGUCUUAACCAUAAACUAUGCCGACUAGGAAUCAGACGGAUGUUAAUUUUUUAAUGACUCGUUUU